rnacentral:lncRNA from 1 species
UGACCUCACACCAAAGUCCAGGCCUCCCGCCUGGCUGAGCGCGGAGAAUGCUGAGUGUGAACUUAGUAACUAAAGAUGGCUACUUCAUUUAAAUAUACAUAUAUAUACCUUGAAUGUGAAACUAUUCUGUGUUAUUUAUCUUUCAUUCAGGGUGUCAAAAUGUAUCCAGGCUCCUUGGCAUGCCAUCACAGAGCACGAAGCUUCCCUAGUGGCAUUUAGCCACUUAGAAACCAUCAGCACUAAAGGUUCAAGUCGUUAAAAGGCAAAGUGAAAGAGCGUUUCUGGGACAAGGUGAACUUUCUGCCUGUUUUCUU